AGGUCUAGUUAUUCAAGCUGCUUAUGACACUUAUGUAAUAUUUGGGUUUUUCGUUGUUGUUUUGUGGUUUUAAUUGCUUGCUUGUAGCAUUAUUAUUGGCCUUGGCUCAAUUUCUGUGGUUACAGAUGGCUGUAGUCUGAAAUGGUUUCUGUCUGAACUGGCUUACGAUGCCACACUGAGUCAGAGGAAAAUCAAAGAUAAAAGAGGGCACAGAUCACCUCUGUCUCAGCUGCGUAGGAGCACAGCUGUACAGCGGGACCGAAGGUUGUCUAGUGGAAAGGGCAUUGAGUCAUGACUGACAGAAAUGACUCUACUCUGAAUGGAGACUUGACAGCAAAAAUAUAACAGAGGUGCAUCUCGACGACAUCUUCCACUCUACCUGCUGCUGAGAACUGUCCAGAAGCUGCCUGCUGCAAAGCUGAUGUUACCUCUACCCCGUUGCCGUGGGCUCCUGAGUUGGGACCCUGCUUGUUGCCCUGUGCUCUUAUCAGUGUGCUUGUUGACCUAGCUGUGUUCACUGCAUUCCAGUGCUGUUUGUUUGAAUUCCUCUGCUGUUUCAGCAUGGCCCAGUAUACUCAGUUUUGGUGCAUGAAGCAGUUGCCAGCUUCCCUCUUUGUGGUGGCUUUGAACGAUACUCUUGCAAAGUGUUCACCUGCCCUGAGGGAUGGAACGACUUGGCAAGAUGUCUGCAUUAUAAUUGGAAUAUUGCUCCUGCUGGGAGAAGACUUGAGAGAAUAUUUUUACUUUCCACCAGUUCCUGCUGUGCCUUGGCAUUUACAGUCCCUCUGGAGGAACACCGUCAGCAGUUUUCACCUCUGCCUUGCAGACCGGCUCAGCAGUGUGACAAGCGUAUGAGUUCAUCACUGAGCCCUCUAGGAACCUGGGCAUCUCAACUGCUACUGCUGGCCUCAGCAAGAACCUUCACGGAGAUGAACAGCGUGUAUUUGGACAUCUGAGGUAGCGCAGAUAUGUUGAUACAAAUGGAUUAUGGCUGUAAGGUUUUCCAGGUUCUUCAUGUUUUGCAUGAAAAUACAAAUUUGGCUGUUAACAGCGGCAUGAGGUUUCAUUUUAACUGCUAAGGACAUGAACAGAUCUGCCUUGCAGGCCAGGAAGGCUGCGUUUUCAGCUUUUGGGUGUGCAGCGCUAAUUAAAACUGUGCAGUCACAGGUCUGAAUCAAUCUAUAGAAGAGCAAUUACAGGGAUAUUAGGAAGGUAAAUCAUGUCUAUUACAUGAGUGCAUGUGCCUGGGAAAGGAUGCGGCUCCUCCACACAAGACGCUCUGAUUCCUGCACCAAAAAAGCUCAGGCCUGGAGAAAGCAGCUUGAUUUACACGUACACAGUGAAGGCAGCGAUUUGAGUAAUAAGCAUGUGAUGCAGGAUUGUGGUGAGGUGAGACUACUUGUGAGAAUGUAAAUGGAAGCAAGAGAGGAGAAGAGAUAAUGAGGGGUAUCAGCAGUAUCAGGAGUGGAGCAAGGCUGAUGGAAAGACAUUUUGAGGGCAGAGGCUGUAACAAACAGCCAAUAAACAUGAGGGAACGCUGAGCCCAAACUAGGAAGGUUGUGGGGAUGGCUGUCACUCCUGUCUCUGCAGAUUCUCUCAUGAGUUGCUUUAUUCACAUUUGAGACUUGACUGCACCAGAAAAGGAGUCUGCUGUCAUCUCAGAUGUCACCUGGAGCAUCUGCUGUUUACUUAUUUUUUCUGUCUGAAGUUUCUAUCCAAGCAGGUUAUCUGCAUAUUAUAUUUCCAGUAAUAGACUGAAAGUAUUGGUCCAGAUCUCUAAGUUUAGGACCUAAGGUUUAUCUAGAGGCUAAACUAGAGCAAGUCUAAUGUUGGUUAAAUCAGACAUGGCUGCAGACAGCCUCGUGUGGCACAGACAGGUGUUCUGCUGUCCCUUGUUCCUGCACUCCAUCAGCUCUAGGCCACCUCACAUAUUAUCCUACGCAGAGGGAGCUCUCAUGUAACACACUGAGCUGCCUAUUUGUUUCUCCCAUCUGCUCGUAUCUUCUAGUGCGGGGAUUAGAAUUUGCCUUGAGGAAUCCCCAUUUUCUUCUUAUAGCUGUGCUGAUUCACCAUGGUGAGGGGUUCAGGUAUGAGAACUGCAGCAGCCUGUGAUCAUACCCUGCUCAGCUGUACCCCUACAGCUCUGCUCACUGCUAAUAGAACACUGAUGUGCACCCAAGGGGGUAGUUUGGCUCUGUUUACAUUACCAGAUCUGCAUAGCAUGGCAUUGCUCAGAAAUAGUUUUCUGGCUUUUGCAAACCUGUUGCUAUGAUUAGAACAGGCUUUUGACAAAUGAAUUCCUCUCUUCAUAUCCUUAAGACCUUUUAGUUAUUCCAAACUUGAUUGCUGGAAACAAAACAAAACUCAUAUAUUUUCUUUGUAUAGAGAUGUAAUUUGUAUCUGCAUUCAGUCCAAGAGGCAGAAUAGAUCAAAAAGGUGGUGUUUUUUUUCUCCUUAUUCCUUUGACCUAAAUAGUUUCUGUCCCAAAAGGAAAUAAAACAAUGUCUGGGCCUGCUUAGAAAACUGAAAAGAAGAAUAUACUGCUUUAAUACAAGUAAAAAUCAUUAGAAUCUUUAGGUAUAGCUGAUCCAGCUGGGAGGUGGGAGAAUGCAGUCAAUAAGCCCAUAUCAGUAUCCCUUCCAGCUAUGUUUUCUAUGGUAAUGUGAUGGGGAAGAGGACAAUUAUCAGCAAUAUCCAGUGUGAACACAGGAGCAGAUUUGGAGUGCUGCCUGAUUACAAGGUAUCUGUCUAACACUCACUGUCACUGUACGAGCGUGCCUUAAUGAGCACUGAAAACAUGCAGUUACACGGUCUAUCUAUGGCAAAAGUAGACUGUGGUGCUGAUGUUUUUUCUACAGCACCAAAUGCUGAGCUUUAGUGCUACACAGGCUCUAGGAUCAUCAGCUGAGGACAUCAGAACCCAUCAAUCCCUGACCUUCAUUUGCAACAGAAAUACUAAGAAUCAUUAAGAUUAAUUGUUAACUGAAAGUAUCGACCCUACAGAGGCUUUCAAUACAAGGUAAACAUCUUUUCAAUAAGGAUGGAUGAUCACGAAGUGUAUUUUAUCUACUCAAAAACAGGUAAUCAGCUUUAACUGUGAGAACAACAAAUGAUCCUGAUCUAUUUCUAAAAAGGCAGAUCCUGUUCUGUCAUCUGAACAGCUGAGUAGGAGGUAUCUGUAUAUUUAAAGACAAGAGACCAGACACACAGAACAGAUUCCGGUUUGGCUCUUAUACUAGAAUUUACUUAGUUCUCAAUGCAGCUGAGAUUAUAAUUUCUAAACCCUUUGCUCCUCAUCAGAGUUAUUCAAAUCUGAAUUUUAAACCUGUGUUUCUACAAAGUUGGCUGGGAGCAAAUUCAUUUACCUAAUGUGAUGGUUCGGCUCAGCACGCAGAUUAAGAUGCCUAAAUUUAGAUGUCUGCACGUAGGUGUUUAUUUGUGAGCUCGCUGUCGCAGCUCCCAUUGCAGUCAGUGGAGGUACCUGCGUUUGGUUAGCUUAAUAGCACCUGGGAUUCACUGAGUAUUGAUCAGAUCACCACUAUCUGUAAAGGCAGCUUAGACACCCGACUUCCAUCUAGAUACUUAUUUGAAAACGUGUUAUCAGGAGCCUCAAAAUGCAAAUGGAAUUUGAGCUCAGGUAUUUAUAAAGCAGACAGCUAAAUCUUAGCAGGUAUUUAUCGAGUAGCUUCCCAGCAUAAUCGAUGAAAAGCUGGUCAGCAGAGCUUAGAGCGUGAUUAAUCUUAUCAAAUAAGAGUGUUUUAUAAUGAAGUGAAUCAUGACCUGAACUCCUUUGUCUGGCUCUGCAGCUACUAUGAUGGGCGCCCAGACACCUGGCUUACACACAGGCUCAGACGUUGUAGACACUUAAGUUUGUGAGAUCAGCCCAGCCCAGGUGGCUACAAGAUGAUCAGAUCAUCUACUCCUACUUUCUGUACCAGGCAGGUGUGCAGCUGAGUUCAUCAGUCUACAAGAAGGUGGUCACUGUGACCUCACUUACCUAUGGCUAACUCAGAGUCUCUGCCCUUAUAGGCACGUCCAAGCUCUUCUACCUAGUCUAGACAUAGAGCAGUAGUAUUCCUUUCUGCACAGCACAGUGGGGGUGCCCCAACUAUCCCUCCUUCCCAUGCAAAGGAACUGGGGAGGACUGAUCCAGAACGCAGCAUUAUUAUGCCUUUAUAUCGCAGUGCAAAUGUUCUAGCAUAAAACAAUCAAGAACAAUCUGAUGCAGCCUGCGUGACAGAUGUUCAUAGUUGUCUGGAAAGUCCAGGAUGUAUUUUAAGUGCCAAACUGUAUGUCAUUCAAUUAAGUGAUACAGUGGGUACAUUGGCCUUGUCAGAGGAUAUUUCUAAGUGCUCUGUGUCAUCCAGUUGUAGUGGAGAGACCUUACAAUGAACUGACUCAUUUUCCCAAAUGCACAUUGCACCUUAAUCUUAACUCCAGUGGGAGCAGCGCCUUGAAUUCCCCAUCACCUCCCCUGCUUCUAAUUGAAAUGCUUCAAAGCUUUGCCUUGAAAGAGUGUACGCAGACCAGGCUCUGCCUGUCUGAGAGUUACAAAAACAGGAUGUAUUUUAUUUGGCUGCUGUGAGCGCAAUGGUCAGGGGUCAUUUUCAUUUAAGACUCUUUUUUUUUUCUCUCAUGGUUUGCAAACGUAUUUUUUCUCCUGAAUGACAGUAAAAAUAAAAUGCAUUCUUCUCUUAAGUAUCUCCAGGCAAUUUAUUGUCAGUUAUUUGCUAUAUCUUGCUGUAUCCCAAUCUAGUCCCUGCUUACCUUCUCUCUUUUCUCAGGUUUCAGCCUCCAUUGUGAGGGAAGACCCUGGUUGCUUCCCAGGAAUCAAUGAGAAGACACAAACACGUUUUAAUUUACUGGCUAUUUCUUUUCCUGUUACUUCUGUUCUUCUUCGUGCCUUUCUAAAGUGAGAACUGGUAAUGAGUUCUUCCUUUAUUUAAAUGGCAUGCUGUACUUUCCCCUUGUUUUUAACAGCUCCCCAGUGAGGUUCUGCUUUGCCCUGUUUCAUUCACCCCCUCUGAAGUUUUGAAAGUUCACUUCAGGAAGAUUUCAUCAUAAGAACUUAAGGAAAAUAAUAUAAUCUUGCUUUAAAACACUUCCUUCCUCUGUUUUGCUGAUGAAUUACAACAAUUCACAAUACCAUCUGGCCAGUAACUGGUACAGGUCCUGUACGUUCAUUGUUUCAAGUGUGUUUGUUUUGGUUGCAGAGCACAUAGGGUGAGGAUUCCCUCAGUGCUGUUCUGAUCAGACAAACCCACACUACAACAACACGUCAAGGGGUGCCCAAACUUUUGGAACUGGGCUGCAAACAGCUUUGGAAAAUGACCAUCAGUCCCACAGAGAACUGGAAGGUGGGUCCUGUGGUGGAGAGCAAAACACAGAACUCAUUUUUGCAGCCUGAGUCAUUUUCUGAAAUCAGAGGAGAAUAUGAACAGAAAUCCAACGUUCUCCUGCAUAAAUGGACUCUGCAGGAAUUUCCUCAGCUCACAGAUCCAAUUCCUGUGGCUUUUUCUUUAAUUGCUGAGUUACUGUAACUCAGAGUAAUGGACGUGCAGCCAGUCAAGAAGAUUCUGUGGGCUCAUUUAAUUCACUUGUCUGCUGUUAAGAAGACUGUGAAAGUGCAGAAUGAGUCAAAACAGUCUCUGGUGAUUAUGAGUUUCCUUGCAGCACUCACAGUGCAGUGAAUGUUGUCUUCUCAAUUACAGCCACUCACCAACAGAAACGCACUGUCUGUCCCAUGAGCGGAUGCUUCAUCUUCUGUGUCACAGCUGCUCCAGCCACAACCCUGCUGACCCGUAGCACGUUUGGUGUUCAUUUUUUGAUACAGAACUUUUGAUCACCAGCUUUUUCACAUAAGCCGUAGCCUGAUAAUAAGAAAUGAAGGCUAGCUUCACAUGAAUGGCAUCGGGUGUCAAGUUCUUGUAAUUUAUUUUUAGUCCCUCAAACCAUUCUAGUCUUGGAUUAAGAUUCUUUAAAGCAAAUGCUCAACACGGGGCAUUUUCCUGCAUGUUGUCUCAUUUAUGUGGGCUCAAAUAAUUUCCACGUGAACUACAGCACAUCGUAAAGCUGCGUCGUAUUCUUUUAAUUUUUAGACUGAAGGGUUUCAAACGGAACGGAACGUAAUUAGAUUACAAGUAAUCUCUUCCCAUUUUGAUCCCAUUCUCAAGAGUGUUUGCAAAGAAGCUUACUUGAGUCUUAAAUGCACAACUUUAAAUCGUGCUGACGGCGAUGAAUAAAAGAAGCACGCUCGUAUGAAAGCAUGUCGAUGUUUAGGAGUUGAUCAAGUAAAAUACGUAUCUCCAUUGGCAGUUUCUGCCUUCAGAAGCAUUAAAAACCUUGACAUGUUCUCUAAAACUUCUGCACAAAACCUUUAACAUGUGGAUUCAGUCCUUCCCUACCCACGUCUCCCAUUUCUCCCCUGAAUCAACAUUAACCCUCAGUAAUAGCUGCUUGUAACAGGGUUCCCAAAGAGAUGGCACAGUUUCUAUUAAGGUGUCAGCCUGCAAGAUAAACUGCAGUUCAGAAGUAUUUUCAAAGAGCCAUCACCUUCCUGGUAGUAUAUUAAAAGAGAUUAUGCCUUGCCAGAGACAGCAAGCCCUGUCAGGUCAGGGCAAAACAACAUUUUAAGCCGAUUGACUCAUAUAUCUCAAGGUAUGUGUGUCCUUGCACAAAUUCACUUUCGCCUCAACCCAGUAUUUAAGAAAAUCCACCUUUAAUGGUGUCGAUUGAUCUGAAGUGUAGUAUUGAACCCUGUGUAUCAUUUUGAGGUUAGGGAUGGAGCAAAACCUCCAAGUAUGAUAGUAAAUAAUUGGAUUAUAAGAAACUUUCCUUUAAGGAAAACAAAGCCUUUUAUGUGAUGUUUAGUGCCUCAUCUUCCCUAAAACUCUUCUUCGCAUAAUAAUUUAGUGACAGGAUAAAGCUUGUUAGCACUCCACAGGCACUUGCCAAAGGUUUUUGAAGAUUCACACUGCUUUACAGUGUAAAGCUGGCUUUGUUUGCCAGAGCUGAGGGCUGCCUUCAAUAACAGCAGCCUCUGACAGUCUCCCUGUCCCGAGAGUGCUGCAGCUUCUUUGCAGGAUGAAACUGAGCAACUGGUUCCUAGUAAGGCCUGGUGUAAACACCGACCUCAGCAAAAAGUGCACUUUCUUCAUCAGCCAGGAGCCUGAAUUACCCAACAGUCCCAUAUUUGGGCAAUUACUGCCCACACGUGAUGGCCCCACCGUGAGAAAUGAGCUUGGAUGCCACUGUUGUUAAACGCCCUGAGAGAGCUUGGCAGGGGUGGAAUAACAUGCUUUAAAACAUGCCCCAUUUUGUGCUGUUCUAUACACAUUCUAUAUAACAUGGAAGAAAAUACUUUUCACUGUUGGAAAAAUACAUAUAUAUAUAUUGAUCUUCUAUAAGGAGCUUUUCUUAAACAAAUUGAAUAUAUUUCUUCUCCAUCAGACAUUUACACUUCUCUGUCUGCUUAUUUCAGCAGUAAAUGGAAAAGGUCAUAAACAUUUAACUUUCACGCUACCUUAGACAAGUAAUUACACCUUUUGUGGGAUCCACUAUUACAGCUCAGAGCAUCUUUGCAUUUACUACAUGUAGCUUUAAGAGGUUUUUGAA